AGCGAACGCUGGCGGCAGGCUUAACACAUGCGAGUCGAACGCCCCGCAAGGGGAGUGGCAGACGGGUGAGUAACACGUGGGAACGUACCCUUUGGUUCGGAAUAACUUGGGGAAACUCAAGCUAAUACCGGAUAAGCCCUUAUGGGGAAAGGUUUACUGCCGAAGGAUCGGCCCGCGUCUGAUUAGCUAGUUGGUGAGGUAAUGGCUCACCAAGGCGACGAUCAGUAGCUGGUCUGAGAGGAUGAUCAGCCACACUGGGACUGAGACACGGCCCAGGCUCCUACGGGAGGCAGCAGUGGGGAGUAUUGGACAAUGGGGGCAACCCUGAUCCAGCCAUGCCGCGUGAGUGAUGAAGGCCUUAGGGUUGUAAAGCUCUUUUACCCGGGACGAUAAUGACUGUACCGGGAGAAUAAGCCCCGGCUAACUUCGUGCCAGCCGCCGCGGUAA
rnacentral:rRNA from 1 species